rnacentral:rRNA from 1 species
GAUGAACGCUGGCGGCGUGCCUAAUACAUGCAAGUCGAACGAAUCACUUCGGUGGUUAGUGGCGAACGGGUGAGUAAUACGUAAGCAACCUGCCUAUGGGACUGGGAUAACGUUUGGAAACGGACGCUAAUACCGGAUAGGUAGAGAGGAGGCAUCUCUUCUCUAUUAAAGUUUAGAUACACCGAUAGAUGGGCUUACGGCGCAUUAGCUAGUUGGUGAGGUAACGGCUCACCAAGGCGAUGAUGCGUAGCCGGACUGAGAGGUUGAACGGCCACAUUGGGACUGAGACACGGCCCAAACUCCUACGGGAGGCAGCAGUAGGGAAUAUUCGUCAAUGGAGGAAACUCUGAACGAGCAAUGCCGCGUGAGUGAUGACGGUCUUUAUGAUUGUAAAACUCUGUUGUAAGGAAUGAAACCUUAAGAUAGGAAAUGAUCUUAAGCUGACAGUACCUUACCAGAAAGCCCCGGCUAACUACGUG